rnacentral:rRNA from 1 species
UAAUACGUAGGGGGCAAGCGUUGUCCGGAUUUAUUGGGCGUAAAGAGCGUGUAGGCGGCCAGACAGGUCCGUUGUGAAAACUGGAGGCUUAACCUUCAGACGUCGAUGGAAACCGUCUGGCUAGAGUCCGGAAGAGGAGAGUGGAAUUCCUGGUGUAGCGGUGAAAUGCGCAGAUAUCAGGAAGAACACCCGUGGCUAAGGCGGCUCUCUAGUACGGUACUGACGCUGAGACGCGAAAGCGUGGGGAGCGAACAGGAUUAGAUACCCUGGUAGUCCACGCCGUAAACGAUGGGUGCUAGGUGUGGGGGGUGUCGACUCCCUCCGUGCCGAAGCUAACGCAUUAAGCACCCCGCCUGGGGAGUACGGCCGCAAGGCUA